CGUGAAGGAAUUUCCUCCUGAAUAGGAGAGAUUAAAACCAUAGGAACUUGUCUGCCUGACUGCUAAAUUGAAUUAUUGUCUAUACAAACUAACUCAUACUAAAAUCUUAUACUUAACUAGAGUAUUUCUUCGACACUCUUUAUUAACUAUACCUUCCAUCUUAAUACUGUACUUCACUUUAGGCUACUAAAAAUAUUGACAUGGACACUGAUAACUCUACCUACUGAAG
rnacentral:lncRNA from 1 species